CUGCUGCCUCCCGUAGGAGUUUGGACCGUGUCUCAGUUCCAAUGUGGGGGACCUUCCUCUCAGAACCCCUAUCCAUCGAUGCCUUGGUGGGCCGUUACCCCGCCAACAAGCUAAUGGAACGCAUCCCCAUCGAUGACCGAAAUUCUUUAAUAGUUCUACCAUGCGGAAGAACUAUGCCAUCGGGUAUUAAUCUUUCUUUCGAAAGGCUAUCCCCGAGUCAUCGGCAGGUUGGAUACGUGUUACUCAACCGUGCGCCGGUCGCCAU
rnacentral:rRNA from 1 species